UACGUAGGCAGCAAGCGUUGUUCGGAGUUACUGGGCGUAAAGGGUGCGUAGGCGGCCUUAUAAGUAUGGUGUGAAAUCUCCCGGCUUAACUGGGAGGGUGCGCUAUAGACUGUGGGGCUAGAGUGUGGGAGAGGAAAGUGGAAUUCCUGGUGUAGCGGUGAAAUGCGUAGAUAUCAGGAGGAACACCGGUGGUGUAAACGGCUUCUGGACCAUAACUGACGCUGAGGCACGAAAGCGUGGGUAGCAAACAGG
rnacentral:rRNA from 1 species